rnacentral:rRNA from 1 species
GACGAACGCUGGCGGCGUGCCUAAUACAUGCAAGUAGAACGCACAGUUUAUACCGUAGCUUGCUACACCAUAGACUGUGAGUUGCGAACGGGUGAGUAACGCGUAGGUAACCUGCCUGGUAGCGGGGGAUAACUAUUGGAAACGAUAGCUAAUACCGCAUAAUAUUAAUUAUUGCAUGAUAAUUAAUUGAAAGGUGCAAUUGCACCACUACCAGAUGGACCUGCGUUGUAUUAGCUAGUAGGUGAGGUAACGGCUCACCUAGGCGACGAUACAUAGCCGACCUGAGAGGGUGAUCGGCCACACUGGGACUGAGACACGGCCCAGACUCCUACGGGAGGCAGCAGUAGGGAAUCUUCGGCAAUGGACGAAAGUCUGACCGAGCAACGCCGCGUGAGUGAAGAAGGUUUCCGGAUCGUAAAGCUCUGUUGUAAGAGAAGAACGGGUGUGAGAGUGGAAAGUUCACACUGUGACGGUAUCUUACCAGAAAGGGACGGCUAACUACGUG